GACCAUUUUUCACUAUUAGUAAAAAACCCAGUAGGUCUUUAAAUCCUUACAAACAAAACAUAUUCACCAAACUUGAAAAAUCUAUUUUAUGUUCAGUAUCCAGCCGAAAUGUUAUUGCAUUCAGCACAGACAGUAACAUUGAAGAGUCUAACUCUCUAUACUGGAGUUCAAACGUUUAUGUUGCUGAUUUGAAUAGUCCCUGGCAAGUUCAUAUAGUUCUGGGAAAUUCGUCACCAGUGACGGUUCUCCAGUGGGAUUUUACAGGAGAACUUCUACUCAUCGCAGAUGAAAAUGGUUGUGUGAAAAUCUACAAGACUAAAGAGUACAUUUUAAAUGAUUGGACCUUGGUAUUGCAAACAGUUCUCGAAGGAGAACACAUCUUGGCAUCAGCUUUCUUCCAUUCUGGAAAAAGGGUAGGUAAUAUUAGUCAUCGUCUUCUU